CUAAAGAAUGGAAGGAAUCAGUUCACAGGAUAUAUGCUUGUUAAUGCUACUCCCAUUUGGGGGAAGUGUAAUUUUCUCCAGUAACCAGGAAAAAUAAGAGAUCACUUUGUUUCUUCUGAUGAUUUAUUUUUAUUUUAAAAGGGAAAUGAAAAUCUAAAAAAUAUAAAAGUUUAAGAAGACAAAGUAGAAACAGUCAAUGGCUCCAUUUCUCUGGCAAACUAAUCAACCAAACUGUUCUAUCUACAUUUGACGGGAAACCCAAAAUUUCAGUGAUCCCACACUAAUGUUCACAUUGUUUUUCUGCUAUAUAGGAACACUUUUAACAUGUUCCCUCUGUCUCACUGUUUGUCAUGUACUAUCUGUAGACUACUUUGCCAACAUUAAAAUGAAAUGUUCAGCUUCAAGCUCAUCAUUCCUGUCUCACUUCACUCCGAAAUCUGCUAGCCACAGAGUUAAAAGGACAGGAUUAAGAGUCAUUAGACACAGUACUAAGGCGAAUUAAAGGGCCUGUUCAAGGGGCAUAACAUCUGCUCCUCAAAUUCCUGCCUAAACAAUGAAGAUUCCGAUCAGAGAGAAGAGAGGGAAAGCCAAUCUAACCAGUAAACCGGAGUCAUGAGGAAGUGAAUGCUCUCUCAGGGAGUAACUCUGACACCAGAGGAAGGCUUAGUGACAUUGUACAAUUGUUUCUGUGAAGUCAUUCAUGGGGCAAGUGGGAGUAUAUGAGUAGAAGUGGAAGGGAGUGGGAAGGUGAAGAUUGAGGAUCCUUUUAAGUAGUUUUUGCUCAGCUAGCAAAACAAGCUGGGACAUGCAAGACAGAUAAACACAGCUGUCUGGGGCUGUCACUUGGGGCUCAGGAGCCAAGGUGUCCUGCUGUAGUGAAAAGUGCACCGGAAUGUGAGUCAGGAGUUCAGGGAUCCAAGUCCUCAUUCUGCUGCUAACUAGCUGCGUGAUGAUGAGCAAGUCCACUGGCUUCACUAGACUCAGUCUCUUUUUUUUUUUUUUUUCGAUACAGAGUCUCGCUCUGUCACCCAGGCUGGAGUGCAGUGGCACGAUCUCAGCUCACUGCAACCACCACCUCCUGGGUUCAAGCAAUUCUCCUGCUUCAGCCUCCUAAGUAGCUGGGAUUACAGGCGCGUGCCACCACGCUGGGCUAAUUUUUGUAUUUUUAGUAGAGACGGGGUUUCGCCAUGUUGGUCAGGCUGGUCUCAAACUCCUGACCUCGUGUUCCGCCCACCUUGGCCUCCCAAAGUGCUGGGAUUACAGGCAUGAGCCACCACGCCCGGCCUCAGUCUCCUUAUUUCAUGGGAAAUGAGGAGACAAGACUAGAUGGCAGCACUAUACAGAGAUGCUCCUGAACCCACGGAGUUCAUGUACUAGUUAAUAUAACUUUGCUGAGUCCUGGUUUCCUCCACUGAAAAAAACAUGAGAAAUAAUACUUUUUAUAAAAUUGGUGUGCUAGGUGAGUGAGAAACAAGCUAAGAAUACUACAGCACCAAAGAGCUCUUCUGGAGAAAUUCGUCAGAGAUGCCCAAAAUCCAGAAUACUUUAUUUACCUCAGCUUCACUCCUAGACUUGGACUUCUAUCUCCCUUCCUGAAUAGCUAUGGGGGCGUUCUUUGUGUGUGACUGCCUCUUUGAUAUCCACUUACUCACCAUGAUGCUGUCUGUUGGAUCUCAGACAAAUU
rnacentral:lncRNA from 1 species